rnacentral:lncRNA from 1 species
UUUUUCCGUGAGCAGACGCACCGCCGCCUGCAACGUCCGUUCGUGGCCGCCAGCUCGUUCGCCUCCCCGCACCUCUAGCCUCGCGUUAUGGCAGCGCCCGUUCACAGUUUCCUCACGCCACAACCGUUUCUUUGAUGCUGUCAUCAAUAGCGUUCAACACAGUGCUUCAAUCGGCAUUCAACCAUGGCCAUGAAUCUCUCCCCACUCGCGCGUGCAGCCGCCACCGGCUCUUCACCUCCUCGCCCAGCAUUAUGGCCAGCUCGCCCCACCCUCUCCAUUUCUCCCCACUAACUAUUGGCAGUUUCUCCUACCCAGUUCUCCCAAGUGUCGUUAUUGGCGGUGCUGGUAACCGCCCUUCUCCUUCCACCCCGACGCCCGACUUCCCUCGCCUUGGCCUAUAAAUUGGACGCCCAGCCGCGUUUCUUCUCCUACUCCCUUACCCAACUCUCGCUUUCGUCCUUCCCCAGCCACCCUCGCUCACGCACUUCGCUCCCAUUGUUUGUCGUCGCUGCUCCGCCGGAGGCCGCGCCUGUAGCGUCGCCGACACCGUCGUCUGCACGCCUGUUAGUCCCUGCUGACAUAUUAUUGUUAUUUUUCUAAUGAAUAUUUGGGUCCCAAUAACUUGAUUACGAUUAUCAUAUUUUGUAUGCUAAAUAGCUCUUUUCAAUAGUUUUUAUGAUUUCACUAUUUCUUGUCUAGAAAAGUUAUGUUUACACACUGUAGUAAACAUUAUUAUAACUAGACAAUUCAUCAUUCCCUAUUUUCAGUUAUAAUAAUAUUGGGUUUUCAUUUCUUUUUCACUCAUGAGAUUUGGUUCACGCAUGUACCGACAGGCAUAAGAACAUAUUAGAUUUAUACCCUAGCUUUGCGUGAAUAAAUACUAAUAAUAUGUUUAUAUAAUUCUCCUAAGAAAUAAUAGAAUUUCUAUUAGUGUUAAAAUGAUAUAGUCAUGGUCGUGUCUAUUAUAGUCUAAUAGUUUAAUGAACUAUAGGUUAUGGGUCUUAUAAACAACAUUAUAUUGUUUUAAUAAAGUUUUUCAAAUGAAAAGUUAAAAGGAUUCAUAACCCGCGCUACAUCUAUGUUAUUUUAUAUGAAUUUAUAUAGUAUUUGCUUCCAAAGUAAAUUUGCCAUAUAGAUUCCUCUAGUGAAUUCUCGAAACUAAAUGAUUAGUAUUUUAACUCAUAACAAAUGAGAUGAUCAUCGAUAUGGAUAGACUUAUAUUAUAGUUACAAAUCAAGUCUUAUUUUAAGAUGUCUUCCUUUUAUAAGUAUGAUUUGUAAAGUGUAUGUUUCAUUGUUUGUUAAAUGGUGUAUGUUUAUUUAUUGGUGUAUGCUUUCUUUUUGUAUGGCGACGUGCGAAGUUAUUAGAAGCUGAUUGUGUGGUAGAGGAUCCGAAUUCGUGUGAGGACGAUUCGCAGGACACUUUUGAGCAAGGCAAAUGGAUUCUCCCUCUGCAUAUUCUAUUUGUAUCCAAUCAAUGCAUAUAAUAAUGUUUACUUUUUGAUAUACUACAUAACUUGAUGAGUUUUACCUAAUUAAGGAUUUCCUAGAUUUAUCAACUGUAUUCCUUGUUUACCCUGGGGAACUUUGCAAACUUGUGCUACCGCUCCACUUAAUAACUUUUAUGUCACUCAUUAAUUGAUAUUAAUGUUCCGAUAAUGAAAUUAGCAAUUAUGACAUUAACCCGAUGGUUAAAACAACAUUAUUUCAUAUUAAUUGGAACAUGGAGUGACUACCCAGGAUAACAGUGCAACCACGAGUGCUAUCAUGGCUCUGGCUUUGGUAAUUAGCUUUAUAUGCUUAGUGCCUGACAACCUUACCUGAAAUAUGGGCAAGAGGGGGAGCGGUGGUGUUGGCAGCUCACGUUAUCAAGGGGACAUAUUCUUAGCUAAGGUACCUCACCCAGGGGGUCACCACCAUCGGCUUUAGAAACCUUAGCGGGUUGCUUCGUAUUAAGUGUAUUUUGUGAAAGCCUCAUAAUGGAUCCCUAGCCAUUCACCUUGGCAGUGUUUAAGGGUCCGAUCAACCCGGGCUAGAUGGGAUACAUGGCUUGUGGGUAAAGUUGUACCACCUCUGCAGAGUGUAAAACUGAUAUAUCAGUCGUGCUCCCGGUUAAGAGCGACCUGGACUCCUCACAUGAUAAUUGAACUUGAAGAUGGAAUUAAAUUGAGAUCUGAUGAUCUGCCAAUGAUUUGCUUAAGUGGUUUCACUUAAGUGUUUUUGUAUAUUCAUAUUCCUUUGUUUAAGUGGGAUACUUGGGAUUCACACUUAUUAGUAAGACAUGUGUUGUUAAUAAAAUAUUGACCAACUAAAAUGCUUACUGCUCAACCUUAGCAUCACCUUGUUAUACCUGCAUUAAUUGUUCCCCCACUUGUUGAGCCCCGACCAUAAGUGAGCUCACCCUUGCUAUUAUUUUGAUCAGAGGGUGAUGCUGGAGACUUUGAUGGAGAUAUUGACGACGAUGAAUUCUAAGUCUAACGAUACACCGGUCAUCUUCCUGUGAGAGAUUGCCCCUGUUAUUUAAAUUCCGCUUUACUUUGAUGUGAUACUUGUUAAAGAUACAAUGAUUCAGAUGAUGUAAUAAAAUUCUACUCUCUUUACGCCUUUAUUGCAUUGUCUUUUGAUA